UGAACAAGUACAUUUAAGUAAUAAUUUGACGAAUUUGUUCAUUAAAGCAGUAUCAACCUCAACAUUUGAGAAGUUGAUAUACAACAUUAGAAUGCAUUUUCUCCGAGAUAUCAAGUUUUCAUCAUGGUUCUUUUAAGUUCUUUUCCUAAAAUUUAGUACCCGUUACUUUGAAAAAAAAAAAACUUCAAAAGGCUCGCUUGCCCCAAUUUUGUUAUAUUCUUGUGAAUAAGAAUAUCUCCUCUUUUAUUUUUUAACAAAGCUUUAAAUAGCCACUAAAACACAAAAUAAAA